UCUCUCUGUCUCUCUCUGUCUGUCUGUCUGUCUGUCUGUCUGUCUGUCUGUCUGUCUGUCUGUCUGUCUGUCUGUCUGUCUGUCUGUCUCUCUGACAAUUUCUCUUCUUUAAAUUAACCUUAACCACCCUGCUUACCUUAUACAUAACCCAAAUCUCAGAUGAAGACCCAAAAAGCACAUUUUUGUAGCCAUAUUUUGACUUUGUGGCUGUGGAAUCUGACUUUGUGGCUGUGUUAUUUAGUGGAACUCCUUCUUCACUGAAGACAGCGACGUGAGCAGCGAAGACCGCGUUAUGACUCCGUGACGCCCCCUGGUGUUCAGUAAAGAGAAACACCGUCAGCUGCAGAACAGGAUGACGUUUCAAACAUCAGGAAACGCCCACUUUAGUUUAUUGCACGUGUCAAUAAUGUUUGGUGUCAAGUGACCCCUUGCGAGGCGCGCGGAAGUCAAUUAACGGGAAUCGUUCUCCGGUGAGCAGAGUUUAGACUUUCAAGUAUCGCAGCUGAAGUUUAACGCAGAAUACAAGUCCCUUGUCUGUUUGAGGCCUGUGUGGUGAGAUGGAGUGGCGAGAACAGACCAGUGUGACCUGUGAAGACGCCUUCCCUGAGGCUCAACGGUGGAUGGAGGAAGUGACAAAUAAAUCAUUCGGA